rnacentral:tmRNA from 1 species
GGGGGCGCAAUGGUUUCGACGGGGGAUAAGAUGGGUUGAGUAGCGAGCCGAGUUGUCGCCAGCUCGUUAAAAAGGUGAAAAAUUCAAUUUAAUUGACAAAACAAAUUACGCACUAGCAGCUUAAGCUGCUCGUCCGGCUAGGUUUCCUCAUGGCUUAGUGCAGGGCGUCACAUAAUGAGGGUACCCUUAAGUCU